GACUCGCUAGCUCAGCUGGUAGAGCAACAGACUCUUAAUCUGUGGGUCCAGGGUUCGAUCCCCUGGCGGGUCACCA
rnacentral:tRNA from 1 species